rnacentral:rRNA from 1 species
CCACGGGAGGCAGCAGUGGGGGAUAUUGCACAAUGGGGGGAACCCUGAUGCAGCGACGCCGCGUGGGUGAAGAAGCGCCUCGGCGCGUAAAGCCCUGUCAGCAGGGAAGAAAAUGACGUUACCGGAAGAAGAGGCCCCGGCUAACUACGUGCAAGCAGCCGCGGUAAUACGUAGGGGGCAAGCGUUAUCCGGAUUUACUGGGGGUAAAGGGGGCGCAGACGGCGAUGCAGGCCAGGAGUGAAAGCCCGGGGCCCAACCCCGGGACUGCUCUUGGAACUGCGUGGCUGGAGUGCAGGAGGGGCAGGCGGAAUUCCUGGUGUAGCGGUGAAAUGCGUAGAUAUCAGGAGGAACACCGGUGGCGAAGGCGGCCUGCUGGACUGCAACUGACGUUGAGGCCCGAAAGCGUGGGGAGCAAACAGGAUUAGAUACCCCAGUAGUC